GAUGAACGCUGGCGGCAUGCCUAAUACAUGCAAGUCGAACGAGAGGAAGCAAGCUUGCUUGUGGAAUCUAGUGGCGAACGGGUGAGUAACACGUAGGUAACCUGCCCCAACGACCGGGAUAACGAUUGGAAACGAUAGCUAAUACCGGAUAGGUGGCACCUUCGCAUGAAGGGGCCAUUAAAGUUGCUACGGCAGCACGAUGGGAUGGACCUGCGGUGCAUUAGCUAGUUGGUACGGUAACGGCGUACCAAGGCGACGAUCGGUAGCCGGACUGAGAGGUUGAACGGCCACAUUGGGACUGAGACACGGCCCAG
rnacentral:rRNA from 1 species